GUCAGAUCCAGAUGGAGUCUGGGGAGCUGUUCCAGGGGUUCAGGACAUCCCCCUGCUUUAUGCAUGGGCAAUUAUUAGGAAAACUUGAUACCACCUAAGACCUGUGAUUCAGCCCAUCAGGUUCUGGACAUCACCUUGGGCAUUUAUAGCCUGGGUUCCUGUGCUAGGAGCUGGGCCUGGGCCUCCUAAUUGCCUGAAUUAUCUUCCAUUUUUGCAUCUGGGACAAAGUCAAGUCCACAGGCAAGCCUGAUCUGAGGGUAUCCUCAAAUAUGGAACUGCACAGCAAGUAUGGGAAGAAAAAUUCUAAGGUAACCACUGUCUUUCUGGCCAGAAGAGGGGAUGAGGACCUUCUGUCAGCUGUCACCAGGGGUAGAGGGGAAGAUCAGCACUUUUUCUUGUUUUCCUCUUCUGGCCCUGCCUCAAGGAGAUCCCAGCCACGGAUCUGCGAAGUGGUAGUGGUAGCAGGCCCUACAACCUCAAGAGAAACCCCCCUUUCCCCUCUCUCUGACCAGAAAAACUGAGAAAAUGGUACCAUGACAUCCAAAGGUAUGGUGUUCAGGACAGGGACCUCAGUUUUUUCUUUUUUCUGUCACUGUUUUGCCCCAGCAAGAUCGUUCACACAGAAAUAAGCAAUAGAGCAGGUAGUUAAAACUCUGAGCUCUGUCUUUCUAUUCAGUGGAUAGGUAAAAGGGGUCCCUGGAAACGGUUGAGUACAUGAGAAAUCCUGUAGAGAAGAUAGCCGGGAAAGAGGGUUCCCUGACUCUGUGUAUGAAGUGACACAAGUUCCAGAUUCAUCCUUGAAAUGCACAUUCAUGGAACAGACCCAAAGCAUAGUAUCAGAGGCUGUGAGAACUUAACUCUAAUAUACACUGAAACCCUAGUCUCACAAUGACCCCUCAGAAGUGUGUGUAUGAGAUAGACCCAAGGCAGCAGAGCAAACACUUUAAAAAUUGAACUUACAUUAGAAAUACAGCUUGAAGAAGUUGAAACAGAACCUGUGGUCUGAAACUAACUAGACUGAUGGCUAAAACACAAUAAAACAAAUUGUGCUUUCUCCAAAAGAUUUUAACAGGACUCAAGAGUUUCAUGAAAUAACACACAAAAUGGGUAUGGUACAGUCUAAAAGUAUUCAACAAGAGGACCAGGAAAAUAUGAACAAUUCUUAAAGGAAAAAAAAGUCAACAAAUAAAAACUGCAACAUGACCUAUAUGUUGGGAUUAUCAGAUUUUAAAGCAACUCCAUGUUCCAGGAAGUAAUGCUAAAUUCCUUUGAAAUUAAUAAAAAAUUAAUAUUAGUGUUAGAAAUUACAAAAAUAUUAGAAAUGAAAAAGGUAAACAUCUGGAAUAUUAAAAAAAAUCACUAGACAGACACUAUAGCAGAAUGGAGAUGGCAGAGGAAAGAUUCAAAGAACUUGAAGACAUAAACAGAAAUUAUACAUUUGUAGAAAAAAGAAAAAAAUAUUGAAGAAAAUAUAAC